CUCAUUUUAGCACCAGCUAUCUUGGAAUUAGAUCGGAUAGUGUGGGAAUAUAAUGAUGACUGUUUCUUGAUGGGUACUUGCUGCAUGAUUUUUUCCAGUGCAUGUCCAUGUUUACAUGUGAAAGUUUCUUGCUUGAUUCCGUUCUACUGGUUCAUUGGAUGAAUAAACUCACAUCUUGCAUGGCCAAACUCUCGGCUGAUGUUUCUAAUAAUUCACUUUUUGUCAUUGCAGGAGAUUAUGGAGUGUAAUUCUUCAAAUGUGCAAAUGUCACGUUGUGCUAAGGGCUCCGAGACUACAAUAGAGACCAAAAUCAAGACUUUGGAUUCUCAAAUAUACAAUUUGUGUGUGAAUAAAUAUAUAAGUACAUGUCGUCUGAUCCAAAUAAGAUGACUAAUGUGAAUGAAGAUGGUUCCGAUAGCAAUCCAAACUUUGUUGGAUACUCUGAGAACACCAGGAAUGAUAUAUUGCCAGCACUUAAGAGGAAAACAGGAGGUUCUGGUUCUAUUGCUGCUCUUAAGGUACUACUGGUCGUUUGACUCUCUGCUCAUUAAACUGGUAGUGUAUAAGAUGUGUGAAACAUACUACAGUGCACUCUUGAGGGAUAUAACUUAGUUUUUUAAGCUGGGCCAAGUCCUCUAGAUGGUUCAGGAGGCAAGGAGACUUAUGCUCAGAUCAUGGUGAAGUGAGCAACCAAAUCAUCCUCACUUCUUGAUUCUGUGCUCCAUGCUGCUCUUCCUUCGAUUGCGGCUCAUCUUCGUUUGCUGCUCAGGUUCGUUUCCAUGCAUAUAGCUCACUACCUGUUUGUCUUUAUGUUCAGCAACUAUAUUUGUCUGUUCGUGUUUCAUUGCAUCAGAUUAAAAUUAUAAUUUUUUCACCACAGUUUUUGGUG